UACGGAGGGGGCUGGCGUUGUUCGGAAUUACUGGGCGUAAAGCGCGCGUAGGCGGACCUGCAAGUCGGGGGUGAAAGCCCGAGGCUCAACCUCGGAACUGCCUUCGAUACUGCGGGUCUCGAGUCCGGGAGAGGUGAGUGGAAUUCCUAGUGUAGAGGUGAAAUUCGUAGAUAUUAGGAAGAACACCAGUGGCGAAGGCGGCUCACUGGCCCGGUACUGACGCUGAGACGCGAAAGCGUGGGGAGCGAACAGG
rnacentral:rRNA from 1 species